AGAGUUUGAUCAUGGCUCAGAACGAACGCUGGCGGCGUGGAUUAGGCAUGCAAGUCGAACGUGAAGGGAGCUUCGGCUCCUGGAAAGUGGCAAACGGGUGAGUAACGCGUGGAGAACCUGCCCGGAAGUGGGGGAUAACACUCCUAACGGGGUGCUAAUACCGCAUGUGUCUGCGUGAUCGCAUGGUCGCGCAGGUGAAGGUGGCCUCUACUUGUAAGCUAUCGCUUCCGGAUGGCUCUGCGUCCCAUUAGCUUGUUGGCGAGGUAACGGCUCACCAAGGCGACGAUGGGUAGCUGGUCUGAGAGGAUGGUCAGCCACACUGGGACUGAGAUACGGCCCAGACUCCUACGGGAGGCAGCAGUCGAGAGGCUUCGGCAAUGGGGGCAACCCUUACCGAGCGACGCCGCGUGGGCGAUGAAGGCCUUCGGGUUGUAAAGCCCUUUCAGUCGGGAAGAAAGGUGGCGGGGUGAACAAUCCCGUCGCUGUGACGGUACCGUCAGAAGAAGCUCCGGCUAACUCCGUGCCAGCAGCCGCGGUAAUACGGGGGGAGCAAGCGUUGUUCGGAUUCAUUGGGCGUAAAGGGCGCGUAGGCGGCUUGGCAAGUCCGUCAUGAAAUGUACCGGUUCAACCGGGGCACCGUGUCGGAAACUGCCUGGCUUGAGGCCGAGGGAGGAUGGUGGAAUUCCUGGUGUAGCGGUGAAAUGCGUAGAUAUCAGGAGGAACACCCGUGGCGAAGGCGGCCAUCUAUCUCGGAUCUGACGCUGAGGCGCGAAAGCUGGGGGAGCAAACGGGAUUAGAUACCCCGGUAGUCCCAGCCGUAAACGAUGGACACUAGGUGUGGGAGGUAUCGACCCCUUCCGUGCCGCAGCUAACGCAUUAAGUGUCCCGCCUGGGGAGUACGGCCGCAAGGUUGAAACUCA
rnacentral:rRNA from 1 species